rnacentral:sRNA from 1 species
GUCGUGAGAUGUUGGGUUAAGUCCCGCAACGAGCGCAACCCUUGUCAUUAGUUGCUACAUUCAGUUGGGCACUCUAAUGAGACUGCCGGUGACAAACCGGAGGAAGGUGGGGAUGACGUCAAGUCCUCAUGGCCCUUAUGGGUAGGGCUUCACACGUAAUACAAUGGCGCGUACAGAGGGUUGCUAAGCCGCGAGGUAGAGCCAAUCCCUUAAAGCGCGUCGUAGUCCGGAUUGCAGUCUGCAACUCGACUGCAUGAAGUCGGAAUCGCUAGUAAUCGCGGAUCAGCAUGUCGCGGUGAAUACGUUCCCGGGUCUUGUACACACCGCCCGUCACACCAUGGGAGUGGGUUUCACCAGAAGCCGGUCGCCUAACCGCAAGGGGGGCGCCGACCACGGUGAGAUUCAUGACUGGGGUGAAGUCGUAACAAGGUAGCCGUAUCGGAAGGUGCGGCUGGAUCACCUCCUUUCUAAGACAAGUACCUCUCAGUGCCCACCCUCUAUCGGCUGUUAUUUGAAGUUGCAGCCGUUUCAUGUUGACCACACGAAGGGGGUCUGUAGCUCAGUUGGUUAGAGCACCGUCUUGAUAAGGCGGGGGUCGAUGGUUCGAAUCCAUCCAGACCCACCAGACACCUGAAUCACCGGGGCCAUAGCUCAGCUGGGAGAGCGCCUGCUUUGCAAGCAGGAGGUCACCGGUUCGAUCCCGGUUGGCUCCACCACUGCGGGCGCAGGGCGCGACCUUCUGCGGGCCCCUGGCGGGGAGCGAAGAGGAAUCAGCAAUCAACAGCGCGAAUGCGAUGUUGAUUGGUGCUUCUUCGAUAGAAACACCGAUCGGCUGCUCUUUAACAAUUCGGGAUGGAAGGUAAAGUGAUUCGCGUAGGCGAGGGGCGUUCGCGGUAUGGGACGCGCUCGAGCGUGCGUGGAUCAUGGGUUAUGUAUUGCAUCGUGUGUCUUCACCGGUCGAGUGGUGGAGGCGCGCAAGCAUGAAGCGUGAGAAUUUCUUAUUUCUUUGUGAUGCUCUGGGGGACUUUGCCCUGGGGUGCUUCUUCUCUAAAGGAGGAGGCAGCAAGGUUAUAGGGUCAAGCGAAUAAGUGCAUGUGGUGGAUGCCUUGGCAAUGAUAGGCGACGAAGGACGUGACAGCCUGCGAUAAGCUGCGGGGAGCCGGCAAAUGGGCGCUGAUCCGCAGAUUU